AAUGGAAUUCCUGGUGUAGCGGUGGAAUGCGCAGAUAUCAGGAGGAACACCGAUGGCGAAGGCAGUUCUCUGGGCCGUAACUGACGCUGAGGAGCGAAAGCGUGGGGAGCGAACAGGAUUAGAUACCCUGGUAGUCCACGCCGUAAACGUUGGGCGCUAGAUGUGGGGACCAUUCCACGGUUUCCGUGUCGCAGCUAACGCAUUAAGCGCCCCGCCUGGGGAGUACGGCCGCAAGGCUAAAACUCAAAGGAAUUGACGGGGGCCCGCACAAGCGGCGGAGCAUGCGGAUUAAUUCGAUGCAACGCGAAGAACCUUACCAAGGCUUGACAUAUACGAGAACGGGCCAGAAAUGGUCAACUCUUUGGACACUCGUAAACAGGUGGUGCAUGGUUGUCGUCAGCUCGUGUCGUGAGAUGUUGGGUUAAGUCCCGCAACGAGCGCAACCCUCGUUCUAUGUUGCCAGCACGUAAUGGUGGGAACUCAUAGGAGACUGCCGGGGUCAACUCGGAGGAAGGUGGGGAUGACGUCAAAUCAUCAUGCCCCUUAUGUCUUGGGCUUCACGCAUGCUACAAUGGCCGGUACAAAGGGCUGCAAUACCGUAAGGUGGAGCGAAUCCCAAAAAGCCGGUCUCA
rnacentral:rRNA from 1 species